GGAGUUAGCCGGUGCUUCUUCUGCGAGUAACGUCACAGAUGUAAGGUAUUAACUUACACCCUUUCCUCCUCGCUGAAAGUGCUUUACAACCCGAAGGCCUUCUUCACACACGCGGCAUGGCUGCAUCAGGGUUUCCCCCAUUGUGCAAUAUUCCCCACUGCUGCCUCCCGUAGGAGUCUGGGCCGUGUCUCAGUCCCAGUGUGGCUGAUCAUCCUCUCAGACCAGCUAGGGAUCGUCGCCUAGGUGAGCCUUUACCUCACCUACUAGCUAAUCCCACCUGGGCUUAUCCAUCAGCGCAAGGCCCGAAGGUCCCCUGCUUUCCCCCGUAGGGCGUAUGCGGUAUUAGCAGUCGUUUCCAACUGUUAUCCCCCACAAAUGGGCAAAUUCCCAGGCAUUACUCACCCGUCCGCCGCUCGUCAUCUUCAAAAGCAAAGCUUUUGAAAUGUUACCGCUCGACUUGCAUGUGUUAGGCCUGCCGCCAGCGUUCAAUCUGAGCCAUGAUCAAACUCUGA
rnacentral:rRNA from 1 species